rnacentral:rRNA from 1 species
CAAGACAACUUUACGGAGUUGACGAUUGACGGAGCGAAGCGACGUCAAAGCGUUCAUUAAAGUCGAGUUGGCUUAGGGAUACGUUCGUUGGGUAGGGGAGCGUUCUGUAAGCCUGUGAAGGUGUGUCGUGAGGCAUGCUGGAGGUAUCAGAAGUGCGAAUGCUGACAUAAGUAACGAUAAAGCGGGUGAAAAGCCCGCUCGCCGGAAGACCAAGGGUUCCUGUCCAACGUUAAUCGGGGCAGGGUGAGUCGACCCCUAAGGCGAGGCCGAAAGGCGUAGUCGAUGGGAAACGGGUUAAUAUUCCCGUACUUGGUGUUACUGCGAAGGGGGGACGGAGAAGGCUAUGUUGGCCGGGCGACGGUUGUCCCGGUUUAAGCGUGUAGGUGUGUGUUCCAGGUAAAUCCGGUUCACUUUAACACUGAGGCGUGAUGACGAGGCACUACGGUGCUGAAGCAACAAAUGCCCUGCUUCCAGGAAAAGCCUCUAAGCAUCAGGUAACACGAAAUCGUACCCCA